rnacentral:rRNA from 1 species
UGUGAUGAGCGAGCCUGACGCAGCGACGCCGCGUGGAGGAUGAAGGUCUUCGGAUUGUAAACUCCUGUCAGAGGGGAAGAAUGCCUGAUUUAUCAUGUUUGACGGUAUCCUCAGAGGAAGCCCCGGCUAACUACGUGCCAUCAGCCGCGGUAAUACCUAUGGGGCAAACGUUGCUCGGAAUUACUGGACGUAAAGGGUGUGUAGGGGGCUGAGGAGGUCAGGGAUGAAAUCCCUAAGCUCCCCCUCCUAAUUGUGCUUGAUGCUGCUCAGCUUGAGGAUAUUUAAUGAGAACGAAGUUCCCGGAGUUCCGGGGAAAUGCGUAAAUUUCGGAAAGAACACCAGAAGCAAAGGCGGUUUUCUAAACUAUUCGUGACGCUGAUACCCCAAAGCUAGGGGAGCAAACGGAAUUAAAUACCCCGGAAGUCCUAGCCGUAAACGAUGGGCACUAUAUGUUUCUGCUUUAAGCGGGAGUGUCAAAGUUAACGCGUUAAGUGCCCCGCCUGGGGAGUACGGGCGCAAGGCUGAAACUCAAAUGAAUUGACGGGAAUUGGGCGG